rnacentral:rRNA from 1 species
GUCCACGCCGUAAACGUUGGGCACUAGGUGUGGGUUCAACCAACGAAAUCCGCGCCGUCGCUAACGCAUUAAGUGCCCCGCCUGGGGAGUACGGUCGCAAGACUAAACUCAAAGGAAUUGACGGGCCCGCACAAGCAGCGGAGCGUGUUGCUUAAUUCGAUGCAACGCGAAGAACCUUACCUGGGCUUGACAUGUACGGAAAAGCCGUAGAGAUACGGUGUCCUUCGGGCCGGUACACAGGUGGUGCAUGGCUGUCGU